UUGUGUCCAAACUAUCUAUAGAAACCACAGCCUUGAACCUGUCUCAAAGCCACUUAUUACCUACCGAAGAUGAUUGUCUUGCGUCUGCCUGAAUCUAAGCACCUCAUCCUCUCGAAGCCGUAGCCAUGGAAGCAAUAAAAAGGAGUUCACAAUAGGAAUUAGCAUGCCCAGGACAACUACAAAAUUAGUAAAAAGCAAGCAAUUUUUCAUAUUUAAACUAGACAGUAACCUUUCGGCCAUCCUUGGUGG
rnacentral:lncRNA from 1 species